rnacentral:tRNA from 1 species
GCGCCCGUAGCUCAGCAGGAUAGAGCAACGGACUUCUAAUCCGUAGGCCACAAGUUCGAAUCUUGUCGGGCGCACCA